CGCAGGACAACCACCACCGAGGUGCCAUGCUGUAGAAGAUCGCCCCAACUCAGUUUCGCGUCAAGAUUAAUUUUCGCCCUUUAAUGUUGGAGGGAAAGCGUCGAGCACCCCUUUAAGAACACUGCUCUGUCGUCUGCCUGAGAGCAUUCUUUUUACUUGUGACUACUCCUUCCGUUUGCCGUCCUCCGUUGGACUACAUCUGUAGCAUCCCUGAGGCGCCACCACGCGAGAAACCACCGCUCCCGCUCUCUCUGUGCGCGUGUGAACGUACUCCCCAGGCGCGGAAGAGCGCUUAUCGCAGACGACCGCUUCUUAUCCGCCUGCUCUCGUGCAUCAACCUCAAGCGGGUCGACCAUAAUCAUUCCUUGGCCUUGGUUACUCUAACUCGCACGUGCGUAACUUGUUUUCGUUUGUUUUCUGCGGAGAGGUGGUUGCAUUCACCAUGCGCACUUCCGCAGCGGUGCUGUCGCUGUUUCGCGGACAACGCCGCCUUUCCUGCACUACGACCGCCGCGCUCGCCACGCGCCGGUUUUCUCGAAGCGCCGGUGACCGCCUCCAAAAAGAUUGGACAUCAUUAUCAACCACACCACCCCGGCCUGGGUCAGACACACCUGCGCCGCCGUCGUCAUCCAAGUCCUCGGCCGACCUGGAUGCACGCGAGUGGGCUUUGCGCGCCGCCCCAGAGGGGACAGCCAGCUCCAAACGCGGCUCCUCUUUUGCAUCCUUAGCGCCACAGCACGGGAGCGGUGAAAAGGUCAAUGGGAUGGAUCGCACCGCGGGGCUGUACACGCACACGAUCGUUACUGAGGCUGACAAGGCGCCAACUGGCGUGGCAACGCCGGCUACCGCGUCCUCCGUUAGCACUGGACCCGGCUUGGCCGCUGAGCGAAAAAAGUACGCGGCUAUACCAUUACGCAGUAGCGGUACCCGUGCCGAGCCAGGAAAUGGGAGCCACGACGCGUCACCGCCGCCGUCCGCAUCGAAUGCGAGACGCGAGAUGACAGCGCCAGCAGAGGCACCGAAGAAGAUCAAAACGGCGGCGCGACCGCAGGACGGCCCGAUGGUGCCAGACUACGGGCCGCUGCGUGCAACCGGCCUAUGGUCCGUAGAGGAGGUGCUUGACGAGUCGAAGAAGACGGUCGACUUCCGCCGCAUCGACGAUGUCGAGAGCGAGAUCUUCGAAGGCCGCACGAAUGUCGAGGAGGCACUCGUCCCAUAUGCGGAAGAGGAGGCGUGGAAGCACAAGCUCAUGUUUGAGUACAAGUUCAAACAGACACCAAAACACCUCACGUGGAAGGAGAUGGGCGAAGAGAUCGAGUGUAUGGACUGCGUGAUCGAGCUGGACGAGCACCGCCCCGAGGAGCUCUUCACGAUUCUCUUCUACUUCACAGAUAAGAAGACCGGCACGCGCGACUUGGUAUGGUCGGCGCGGAAUGACGUCUCGUACUCGGAGGGAUUUACGGAUCUCCUGGCCGCCGUCGGGGCGUGCCUCGGUCGCUCGGACGUGCAUCGCACCAUCCGCUUUGAUGACGGCGUCGGCUGCACGCGCGACCUCACCUUCCGUAAGCGGUCUCGCUACACAUCCGACGUGUACGUGGCCUUUCGCCCUCCCGAGAAGUACGACAAGUUUCAGCGGAAGGAGGAGAAGGACGAGUACGAGGCAUCCAUGGAGAGGGAGGGCAUGAGCACGUGGGGGUACCACCCGUCCCUCAUGGAUCCGGAGUUCAGCGAGCUAGACUUCAAGGACCCGGAGGGGACGUACGAGGUUGCCAUAUCCGCUCACGGCUUCUCUUUUGUUGUGCUGCGAGCGAUUCGUCGCCUUCUGGCCCGGCCAAUGAGAGACUUCUACCGACCUUCGCAGCUGAUGCGGACGGCAAAAGUAAGGACAGAGGACGAAGUCGGCUUCACGCAUGCCUUGAAGGGCUGGCUGGGCGUCGAUGAGCAACUCUACCCCCACUACACUCCCAUCGAGGCGCUGCAGGACCACUGGCUGGGCAAGGACGCCCCGUUUAGUCUCUGCGCCAUCGUCAAUAAGCUGCGCGAGAUGAACUAUCUCAAGAAGGAGAACCCUGAGUUUCAGUCGUGGCUGUCGGUGCGGAACCACGACACGCACCUCGCCAUUCGCAACAUGGGUGUGAAGCUGCUGGGCGUUGGGGCCAGCACGCUGUUUGUCCCGGUGUCGCACAACGCCACCGUGAACCGCCUGCUCCCUAAGCCACAGCAGCGCCGGCUGGAAAGUCGAUUUUCGUUGAACGCUGUUCUCGGGCUUCCAGACGAGACGCGUAAGCUGAAGGAGUUCAAACAAAUCACUGGCCACGACCGCAUCACCGACGCGCCGACGUCUAGCACGCAAGGGACAGCCACGGUCGCGUCUUCAGCCCAAGACGAGGCAAGCGUGAAAAAUUCGCCUACAUAAAUGAGCGAGGGCUGCGUGUGCUCCGGAGAGAGACGAGUGUGCUAGGGUUCCUUGUGGCCUUUUCUGCAUGAAGCGCAUCGUCUCUGUGCUGUCGUUCCUGCGUGCAGCUUUUUGGAAGCUGCCUUGGUAUGCGUCUUUGACGACGUGCAGGUGCCUGUGCGUCUUUGUGUAUGUGUGUGUGUACAUUUGUGGGAGGGAAAGGGGGAGGGCGGAGGAGGAUGGAGGCUCACGGUACCCCCAUUUUUUUCUGGUUCACUCUUUGUCGCCUUCUCGUCGCGGACCACUCCACGUGUUUGGUCAGUGUGCUGUGUGCGUGGUAUGUGCUGUGUAUUGCCUUCUUAUUUCCACGUAAUACACUUCCGGAUUCAAACUUCUCACCGUUCACAGAAAGAAAAAAAAAGGAAACCUUUUCUUCGCCACGUUGUGGAUAUAGAGAAGAGGCUCGACAACACACUCUGCCGUGACAUGGCGAUG
rnacentral:misc_RNA from 1 species